GUGCUCACUUCAGCAGCACAUAUACUGAAAUUGGAACGAUACAGAGAAGAUUAGCAUGGCCCCUACGCAAGGAUGACAUACAAAUUUGUGAAACGUUCCACAUUUAA
ensembl:snRNA U6 U6 spliceosomal RNA